AAGUCGUAACAAGGUUUCCGUAGGUGAACCUGCGGAAGGAUCAUUAAAAAAAGGGUCGCAAGACCCGUUUUUAAACACUAUCGCCGCCUAUCAUCUAUGGGUAGGAUAUUCUUGUCUAUGGGUGAGAUGGAGGAGGUAGGGUUUUUUAAAAUCCAAUUAUUAUUAUAAAAUAUAUCGUCUAAUGACGAACCAAAAAAAAUUAUCAAAACUUUCAACAAUGGAUCUCUUGGCUCUC
rnacentral:misc_RNA from 1 species